AGUUAACUGUAAGUGCUGUAUUUUAAUAAUCUAUCAAAAAUCAAAAUCAUCAGGAUAAUAUUAGGUAUUGAUUUUCAGACAAGAAUUAGAUUACAGUGAUGGUCAAAAAAAAACAUUUAGAUAUUGCUUUGAAAUCUACAGAUAAGAGCAACAACACAAUAAAAAACCAAAAUAUGAACACCAGCAACUAAAACAGGAACCAUUAAAUGAAUAUUACACACAGCAAUAACAGCAUCAAAUAAUGGAAAUAAUGGACCCUACUGCUCAAAUCAAAAACAAAAUUUCAUCAUUACCACUUUAUUGGUUAUAUCAAUAAAAGAAAUUAUUGAGUUUAUGAGUCUAGAUCCUACAAGCAAGCAGAUCUAUCACAUAAUUUAAAAUGAAGAUUUAUCUAUUAUAGUAAUUUAUUCUAAUAAU